rnacentral:rRNA from 1 species
AGCGAACGCUGGCGGCAGGCUUAACACAUGCAAGUCGAGCGGGCAUCCUUGUGGUGUCAGCGGCAGACGGGUGAGUAACGCGUGGGAACGUGCCCUUCGGUUCGGAAUAACUCAGGGAAACUUGAGCUAAUACCGGAUACGUGCGAGAGCAGAAAGGUUUAUCUGCCGAAGGAUCGGCCCGCGUCUGAUUAGCUAGUUGGUGAGGUUAUGGCUCACCAAGGCGACGAUCAGUAGCUGGUCUGAGAGGAUGAUCAGCCACACUGGGACGGGGACACGGCCCGGACUCCUACGGGAGGCAGCAGAGGGGAAUAUAGGACAAUGGGGGCAACCCUGAUCCAGCCAUGCCGGGUGAGUGAUGACGGCCUUAGGGUUGUAAAGCGCUUUUCUCCGGGACGAUAAUGACGGUACCGGAGGAAUAAGCCCCGGCUAACUUCGUG